CUCUCUUUCAGGCAGAUUGUUGAGUUCAGUUUCAUUUGGGCCUUUUUCUGUGGUUUUUGAGAUUUUGGUGUGAACCGUGUUCUUUUGACAUUUGAUAUUUCUGUGAGGUGCCCACUAGUGCCCAGAGGCUCCAGUCUCUGGAGCUGCUCAGCCCGUAGAGUGAGGUUGGGGGCCGUAGGGUCGCGGAGCUGCUGCCUGGGGGGAGGAGAGAUCUGUUUGCUGAUUCCUGUGAGCGUUGUCUGUCUCUGGUGUCAGAGCCAGUGGGCCAAGCACACAGGUGUAAGCCUCGUUGCUCUGCAUCUCUAGCUGUGGUGGACGGGGCCUCCCCUAUGGCUGCUCCGACGCCAGCACAGUGACUGCUGGUUUGCGACCCGGUGCCGGCAGGCUGGGAGGGGGGCGCAUCAGGCUGCGUGUGACAGUGGGGGAAUUCGGAGCUGAGCAGACAGACAGGGGGAUGGAGCGCCUGAAGCUCCCCAAAGUUCCCAACAUGCUGGCAGAGCACGUGCAGACAAGCUCGUCCAGCUCUCCCCUCUCCCAGGCAGACAUGCUUGUCAUGCUCUUUCCUCCCACGUGCCGCGACCUUCGCGCAAAGCCCGCCCCCUCAGCAGCCCUCUCGCUGCAAGGAAGCCUCUCAGACCGCCUGCCUUUCCCGUGACCCGGAGCGGCCGGGUGUGGAUCCCGUCCUCCACAAAUGGCCGGAAUGUCAAGUCUCUCAAGCACUCUGCCUGUCCGAGCUGCCCAUCCGCCAGAGCACCACACAAGUUGUGCGCUGCGGCUCCUCCAGCUUACCAUCGUCAUCGUCGUCUGCAGUGAGGUCCACAACCUCUCCUGGAUUCGGCCUGAAACGCUGCAUCGCAGCGAAAGCCCUGCUACGGAUGCUUCGAUCCUGUGGCCGAUGAGUAUGGGAGCUUGGACGGUGGCUCCAGGGGUAUGUGGAGCGUCCAAGCGUUGAAGGAGACCUUAAAUGACAUCAAUAUUCAAUUAGUAAAUAUAAAAAAGAACAAAAAUUUUAGUUACCCACGAAAUCAUAAGCCUUUCUUUCAAAAUGCACUAUAAAGACCUUCAUGCAAGGUAUCUCCAUAGAAAUAAUGUAACAGAAUUCAAACUAAUGACUAGCACAAUGCCCAGCUCUCAAUAAACAUGCUGAAUGAAAUGUUCAGCAAAUGUUCUCCACAAUGAACUGACCUCUGGAUGUGAGAAAUGAUAUGCCAGACGAAUCACUGGUGUAAAAUACAGGAUUCUGGAUCAAGAAUGCUGCACUCUGUUCUAUGGUUAUUUUGAGUAUGCAUCUGGGGUUAUAAUCAAAUGUUCACAUUUUCUGUUAAUACCUGAAAUUAUGCACCAGCGGUGAAGUAACAAAACUAUCAACACACUAAACAUUUAAUAACAUCUGCAUGAUCUUGUAUAUUUAGUCCAGAUUGAAUUUGUGAAACACAGCUUUGGAAGUUCUAAACCAAGCUAUGUUUCUGGUGCUGCCCUAAAAGAGAUCGAAGGCGCAGAGAAAUUUCCUGGGAUCAGCAGAGGCGAGGAGAGCUGCAGCUCCUUGACCGGUUUGGGAGCCAUAACAAAACAUCACUUGUUUGCGCUGAACAUUUUUAUCAUCUUUUUAUGAUGUGUAUGGCAUUGUAUUGUAUUGUUACUUGCUGUAGGUUUCAUUUUUUUUUUAAUUUUAAGGGAUUGUCUGUAAUGAUCUAGACUGAGGGUUCAGAGCAAUAGCAUGUAGAAUACACAGUCAGUCCUAAAGCGCCCAGAGAAAAAUGAGUGUUUUAGAAAGGUGGGGCUUAUGAAAAUGUCUUUUUCUGUCUUAUCCAAACUGAAUAUGAAACUGACUGUGAGCUUAUCAUCAGCUUGUGUGGAAAGGGUGGGCCAGACCCGUUGACAUGCAGUCAUGGGGGGCACAAGCUCGACCACUCAGGAAAGAACCCCAGCAUUCAAACUGGGCUGUGGAUGGCCUCAGCGAGUAUACAGCCUAAGAGUUCAUAAAGAAGUUCAAACUCUAAAAUGAAAUCCUCGAGUUAUCAGGAGUCAAAAAGAUUAAUUCCUGAGACAGUGAAGAAAGGGCAGCUCAUUCCAGCAAGGACAGUACAGGCUGAGGCACGAGAGUAAACGAAUGUCUCAGGAUCACAAUGGCUUUGAAGGAGGA